rnacentral:rRNA from 1 species
AUUGAACGCUGGCGGCAGGCUUAACACAUGCAAGUCGAGCGGAGAUGAGGUGCUUGCACCUUAUCUUAGCGGCGGACGGGUGAGUAAUGCUUAGGAAUCUGCCUAUUAGUGGGGGACAACAUUCCGAAAGGAAUGCUAAUACCGCAUACGCCCUACGGGGGAAAGCAGGGGAUCUUCGGACCUUGCGCUAAUAGAUGAGCCUAAGUCGGAUUAGCUAGUUGGUGGGGUAAAGGCCUACCAAGGCGACGAUCUGUAGCGGGUCUGAGAGGAUGAUCCGCCACACUGGGACUGAGACACGGCCCAGACUCCUACGGGAGGCAGCAGUGGGGAAUAUUGGACAAUGGGGGGAACCCUGAUCCAGCCAUGCCGCGUGUGUGAAGAAGGCCUUUUGGUUGUAAAGCACUUUAAGCGAGGAGGAGGCUACCUAGAUUAAUACUCUGGGAUAGUGGACGUUACUCGCAGAAUAAGCACCGGCUAACUCUGUGCCAGCCGCCGCGGUAAUAC